UGUUUCCCAGCUCUGGUGUUGCUCCAGGUCGGACAUUUCCCAGCUCCGGUGUCACCAACGUCAGACGAUUCCCAGCUCCAAUGUUAUCUGAGAUCGGAUGAUUCCCAGCUCCGAUGUCCCCAAAGUAGGACAAUUCCCAGCUCUGAUGUUAUCUGAGGUCAGAUGAUUCUUGGCUCCGACGUCCCCAACGUUGGAUGUUUCCCGGCUCCGGUGUUGCUCCAGGUUGGACGUUUCCCAGCUCCGGUGUUGCUCCAGGUUGGACGUUUCCCAGCUCCGGUGCCGCCAACGUCAGACGAUUCCCAGCUCCAAUGUUAGCUGAGAUCAGAUGAUUCCCAGCUCCGACGUCCCCAACGUUGGACGUUUCCCAGCUCCGGUGUUGCUCCAGGUUGGAUGUUUCCCAGCUCCGGUGUCGCCAACGUCAGACGAUUCCCAGCUCCAAUGUUAUCUGAGGUCAGAUGAUUCCCAGCUCCGAUGUCCCCAAAGUUGGACGAUUCCCGGCUCUUGGUGUCCCCCCAGGUUGGAUGUUUCCCAGCUCCGAUGUCCCCAACAUCGGAGGUUUCCCAGCUCCAAUGUCACCCCAGGUCCGAUGUCUGCUGGCUCCAGUGUCCCCAACAUCAGACGCUUCCCGGCUCCGAUGUCCCCAACAUCAGACGUUUCCCGGCUCCGGGGGACCCUCAAGGUCAGACGUUCCCCGAUUUCAGCGUCCCCCCAGGUCGGACGUUGCCCAGCUCCGAUGUUCCUCGUGUCGGAUGUUUCCUGACUCCAAUGGCCCCAACGUCGGACACUUCCCAUCUCCGAUGUCCCCAACGUUGGGCUUUUCCUGGCUCCGACGUCCCUCCGGGUCAAGCCGUUGGCUGGCGCUGCCGGUUUCGGUGUUCGUUGACUCUGGUGGACCUCCAGGUCGGACAUCCGUUGGCUCCGGCAUCCGCUUGGGUGUCGGCCGGCUCCGGCGUCCCCCAACUCGGACAUUUCCCGGCUCCGACGUCUCCCACGUUGGACGCUCGCCGGCGCCGCCGGUUUUGGUGUCGGCCGGAUUCAAUAUCGGCCGGUUUUGGUGUCCACCAGCUCCGACACCUGCGGGUCGGACACUGCCUGUCCCCGUCACCCCGUUUUCCGUCCCCGUCGCCCCGUUUUCCGUCUCCGCCGCCCGCCGGCUUCAACGUCCCCCCAGGUGAGACGUUUCCCAGUGCCAAAACCCGCCGGUUUUGGUGUUUGCCAGCUCCAACAUCUGCCGGUUUUGGUGUCCACCAGCUCCGGCACCCGCAGGUGGGACAUUUCCCGGCUCCGUCACCCGUUGGCUUCAACGUCCUCCAGCUCGGAUGUUUUCCAGUGCCAAAAAACACUGGUUUUGGUGUCCACCAGCUCCAACAUCUCCUGAUUUUGGUGUCUGCCACCUCCAACAUCUGCCAGUUUUGGUGUCCGCCAGCUCCAACAUCUGUUUUUGGUGUCCGCCAGCUCCAACAUCUGCCAGUUUUGGUGUCCACCAGCUCCAACAUCUCCUGGUUUUGGUGUCCACCAGCUCCAACAUCUGGUUUUGGUGUCCGCCAGCUCCAACAUCUCCUGAUUUUGGUGUCCGCCAGCUCCAACAUCUGCUGGUUUUGGUGUCUGCUGGCUCCAACACCUGCCGGUUUUG
rnacentral:lncRNA from 1 species